rfam:Spinacia oleracea cultivar SynViroflay scaffold34265.con0005.1, whole genome shotgun sequence.
UUACGAAUGAUGAUUGAACUAUUUUGUUCCCUAUUGGUUUGAUUCGCCGAUAUGAUGGCAACAAUGUAUUAGCGCUCUAUCUGAUCCUAU